AUCAGGUGAGCUGAAGUCAACUAAGGUGUAUGAGAAAUGGGCUAAAAAGAUCUUAGGGAUGGAGCCACCAACAAAUCCGCUAGAGAGGAGAGCGAAGAAGAGGAAGAACAGUGAGGAGAAUGAUCUGAUACUGGCUAUCUCACAGCGCAGGGCUGAGCGGAAAAAACAGUUCAACUCCAUCCUCUCGAACAUCAUGUCCAAGUGUGACUCCAAGGCGAGCAGCUCGGAGCCCACGGAAGAAGAGUUUGAGCAGGCGCAACAGAGGCUGGAGAGCAGAAGGGCCAAGAGGCGCAAGUGAUGCUGCUGCCAGCCUUCUUGCCCUAUGCUGAAUAUUGUCUGAAGCUUUUGGUGUGACCUGAAUUUACCA